rnacentral:rRNA from 1 species
GACGAACGCUGGCGGCGUGCUUAACACAUGCAAGUCGAACGGUGAAGCGCCUUCCUUUUUGGUGGGUGUGGAUGAGUGGCGAACGGGUGAGUAACACGUGAGUAACCUGCCCCCUUCUUCUGGAUAACCGCAUGAAAGUGUGGCUAAUACGGGAUAUUCUGGGUCUGUCGCAUGAUGGGUCUGGGAAAGAUCUUGUUUCGGUGGGGGAUGGGCUCGCGGCCUAUCAGCUUGUUGGUGGGGUGAUGGCCUGCCAAGGCGGUGACGGGUAGCCGGCAUGAGAGGGUGGACGGCCACACUGGGACUGAGACACGGCCAAGACUCCUACGGGAGGCAGCAGGGGGGAAUAGUGCACAAUGGGCGCAAGCAUGAUGCAGCGACGCGGCGGGAGGGAUGGAGGCCUGCGGGUUGUGAACCUCUUUCGCCAGUGAAGCAGGCCUGCCUCGUUUGUGGGUGGGUUGACGGUAGCUGGAUAAGAAGCGCCGGCUAACUACGUG